rnacentral:rRNA from 1 species
CGGAGGAAAAGAAACCAACAGGGAUUGCCUUAGUAGCGGCGAGUGAAGCGGCAAAAGCUCAAAUUUGAAAUCUGGCUCUUUCAGAGUCCGAGUUGUAAUUUGAAGAAGGUAUCUUUGGGUCUGGCUCUUGUCUAUGUUUCUUGGAACAGAACGUCACAGAGGGUGAGAAUCCCGUGCGAUGAGAUGAUCCAGGCCUAUGUAAAGUUCCUUCGAAGAGUCGAGUUGUUUGGGAAUGCAGCUCUAAGUGGGUGGUAAAUUCCAUCUAAAGCUAAAUAUUGGCGAGAGACCGAUAGCGAACAAGUACAGUGAUGGAAAGAUGAAAAGAACUUUGAAAAGAGAGUGAAAAAGUACGUGAAAUUGUUGAAAGGGAAGGGCUUGAGAUCAGACUUGGUAUUUUGUAUGUUACUUCUUCGGGGGUGGCCUCUACAGUUUAUCGGGCCAGCAUCAGUUUGGGCGGUAGGAGAAUUGCGUUGGAAUGUGGCACGGCUUCGGUUGUGUGUUAUAGCCUUCGUCGAUACUGCCAGCCUAGACUGAGGACUGCGGUUUAUACCUAGGAUGUGC